rnacentral:rRNA from 1 species
UACGGAGGGAGCAAGCGUUACUCGGAAUUAUUGGGCAUAAAGGGCGCGUAGGCGAUUUGAAAAGUCUUGUGUGAAAGCCCCGAGCUUAACUCGGGAAGUGCACAAGAAACUGUUGAAUUUGAGUUCCGGAGAGGAAGGCAGAAUUCCCGGUGUAGCGGUGAAAUGCGUAGAUAUCGGGAGGAAUACCAGUGGCGAAGGCGGCCUUCUGGACGGAUACUGACGCUGAGGCGCGAAAGCCAGGGGAGCAAACGGG